UACGUAGGGCGCAAGCGUUGUCCGGAAUUAUUGGGCGUAAAGAGCUCGUAGGCGGUUUGUCGCGUCGGCCGUGAAAACUUGGGGCUUAACCCCAAGCCUGCGGUCGAUACGGGCAGACUUGAGUUCGGCAGGGGAGACUGGAAUUCCUGGUGUAGCGGUGAAAUGCGCAGAUAUCAGGAGGAACACCAGUGGCGAAGGCGCCGCUCUGGGCCGUGACUGACGCUGAGGAGCGAAAGCGUGGGUAGCAAACAGG
rnacentral:rRNA from 1 species